GACGAACGCUGGCGGCGUGCCUAAUACAUGCAAGUAGAACGCUGAAGAGAGGAGCUUACUCUUCUUGGAUGAGUUGCGAACGGGUGAGUAACGCGUAGGUAACCUGCCUUUUAGCGGGGGAUAACUAUUGGAAACGAUAGCUAAUACCGCAUAAUAUUGGAUAACACAUGUCAUUUAUUUGAAAGGGGCAAUUGCUCCACUACAAGAUGGACCUGCGUUGUAUUAGCUAGUAGGUGAGGUAAUGGCUCACCUAGGCGGCGAUACAUAGCCGACCUGAGAGGGUGAGCGGCCACACUGGGAAUGAGACACGGCCCAGAAUCCUACGGGAGGCAGCAGGAGGGGAUCUUCGGGAAUGGGGGCAACGCUGAACGAGCAACGCCGCGUGAGUGGAGAAGGUUUUCGGAUCGUAAAGCUCUGGUGUAAGUGAAGAAAGGGAGUGGGAGUGGAAAGUGCACGCUGUGACGGUAGCUAACCAGAAAGGGACGGCUAACUACGUG
rnacentral:rRNA from 1 species